GAUGAACGCUGGCGGCGUGCCUAAUACAUGCAAGUCGAGCGAACAGACGAGGAGCUUGCUCCUUUGACGUUAGCGGCGGACGGGUGAGUAACACGUGGAUAACCUACCUAUAAGACUGGGAUAACUUCGGGAAACCGGAGCUAAUACCGGAUAACAUGUUGAACCGCAUGGUUCAACAGUGAAAGACGGUUUUGCUGUCACUUAUAGAUGGAUCCGCGCCGCAUUAGCUAGUUGGUAAGGUAACGGCUUACCAAGGCAACGAUGCGUAGCCGACCUGAGAGGGUGAUCGGCCACACGGGAACUGAGACACGGUCCAGACUCCUACGGGAGGCAGCAGUAGGGAAUCUUCCGCAAUGGGCGAAAGCCUGACGGAGCAACGCCGCGUGAGUGAAGAAGGUCUUCGGAUCGUAAAACUCUGUUAUUAGGGAAGAACAAAUGUGUAAGUAACUAUGCACGUCUUGACGGUACCUAAUCAGAAAGCCACGGCUAACUACGUG
rnacentral:rRNA from 1 species